CCAUAUUAGUUAAUCGAUUUUGCUCACAAGUGUGCUCAACUUUGGUCUCAGUGUAAAUCGGUGUGUUGUUUGAAAGAAUGGCGUACAUUGUCUAACAUGUUCAAUUUUGCCGUGUUAUUUCUUGCAUGCGCAAUGAUAGUUAUCAUAGACGUUUCGCCUGUGUCUUCUGGAGACGCGAAUCUUCUGCAGAACGAGGAGGAAGGAGGUCUCGAUUAUGAGAUGAUGAUUGUGUAUGCAUUGGCCGUUUUCUCUCUCCUGAUGGUGAUUGGAUGUCUGUUGUAUGGAAUGUGCCACAUGAUUGACACUAAAUCAGAAAAAAGAGAAGAUAGUUCUGGCACUGUCUACAAUCAAGUUCAAAAUGAGGCAAAGUAAUGCAACAUCAUGUUACUUCUAGAGGUCUGAGCAUAUCUCAACUCUGCUUCAACAUUCGGAAAAUUGAUACCAAUGUCUUGUUGUACAUUUUAAGUUUGACCUUGUAAUUUAGAUAUGUAGAUAUUUAUUUCUUUUGUAUCUCAAAAAUUUAUAAAUUCUGUUUUCA